rnacentral:lncRNA from 8 species
AUGUCUCUACUACAGACCCCAUGUCUCUACUACAGACGCCAUGUCUCUACUACAGACGUCAUGUCUCCACUACAGACACCAUGUCUCUACUACAGACGCCAUGUCUCUACUACAGACGCCAUGUCUCUACUACAGACGCCAUGUCUCUACUACAGACCCCAUGUCUCUACUACAGACGCCAUGUCUCUACUACAGACGCCAUGUCUCUACUACAGACACCAUGUCUCUACUACAGACCCCAUGUCUCUACUACAGACACCAUGUCUCUACUACAGACGUCAUGUCUCUACUACAGACACCAUGUCUCUACUACAGACACCAUGUCUCUACUACAGACGCCAUGUCUCUACUACAGACACCAUGUCUCUACUACAGAAACGUCUCUACUUCAGACGCCACGUCUCUACUACAGACGCCACGUCUCUACUACAGAGCCCAUGUCUCUACUACAGACCCCACGUCUCUACCACAGACCCCAUGUCUCUACUACAGACGCCACGUCUCUAUUACAGACGUCAUGUCUCUACUACAGACGCCAUGUCUCUACUACAGACCCCAUGUCUCUACUACAGACCCCAUGUCUCUACUACAGACGCCAUGUCUCUACUACAGACCCCAUGUCUCUACUACAGACCUCAUGUCUCUACUACAGACGCCAUGUCUCUACUACAGACGCCACGUCUCUACUACAGACCCCAUGUCUCUACUACAGACGCCAUGUCUCUACUACAGACGUCAUGUCUCUACUACAGACCCCAUGUCUCCACUACAGACGCCAUGUCUCUACUACAGACGCCAUGUCUCUGCUACAGACCCCAUGUCUCUACUACAGACCCCAUGUCUCUACUACAGACGUCAUGUCUCUACUACAGACCCCAUGUCUCUACUACAGACCCCAUGUCUCUACUACAGACGUCAUGUCUCUACUACAGACCCCAUGUCUCCACUACAGACGUCAUGUCUCUACUACAGACCCCAUGUCUCUACUACAGACCCCAUGUCUCUACUACAGACCCCAUGUCUCUACUACAGACCCCAUGUCUCUACUACAGACGACAUGUCUCUACUACAGACGCCAUGUCUCUACUACAGAUGUCAUGUCUCUACUACAGACCCCAUGUCUCUACUACAGAUGUCAUGUCUCUACUACAGACGCCAUGUCUCUAUUACAGACCCCAUGUCUCUACUACAGACGUCAUGUCUCUAUUACAGACCCCAUGUCUCCACUACAGACACCAUGUCUCUACUACAGACCCCAUGUCUCUACUACAGACACCAUGUCUCUACUACAGACCCCAUGUCUCUACUACAGACCCCAUGUCUCUACUACAGAACCCAUGUCUCUACUACAGACACCAUGUCUCUACUACAGACCCCAUGUCUCUACUACAGACGCCAUGUCUCUACUACAGACACCAUGUCUCUACUACAGACCCCAUGUCUCUACUACAGACACCAUGUCUCUACUACAGACCCCAUGUCUCUACUACAGACCCCAUGUCUCUACUACAGACCCCAUGUCUCUACUACAGACACCAUGUUGUUUCUCUGUGGUUUAUAAAAACCCAAAGUGCCUCGCUCGCUCAUAUUUUCUACUUUUUUAACAGCUUAUUUAAAACUGCUGUUGAGAGAACUUUAAAAGCCAUCUUUAAAACUACUUUAAAACUACUAAAACUACUAACGUCUGCUUUUACGGAAAAGAUUGGUUCCUUUGUCCGAAACCACGUUGCAGUAUAUUCUUUAACUGUGUUGUUGCAAAAACAUAUGUAUCAUCACAGUCUCGUUGUGUGUUAA